rnacentral:rRNA from 1 species
UGGGGAAUAUUGCACAAUGGAGGGAACUCUGAUGCAGCGACGCCGCGUGAACGAAGAAGGCUUUCGAGUCGUAAAGUUCUUUUAUAUGGGAAGAUAAUGACGGUACCAUAAGAAAAAGCCCCGGCUAACUACGUGCCAGCAGCCGCGGUAAUACGUAGGGGGCUAGCGUUGUCCGGAAUCACUGGGCGUAAAGGGUUCGCAGGCGGAAAUGCAAGUCAGGUGUAAAAGGCAGUAGCUUAACUACUGUAAGCAUUUGAAACUGCAUAUCUUGAGAAGAGUAGAGGUAAGUGGAAUUUUUAGUGUAGCGGUGAAAUGCGUAGAUAUUAAAGAGAAUACCGGUGGCGAAGGCGGCUUACUGGGCUCAUUCUGACGCUGAGGAACGAAAGCGUGGGUAGCAAACAGG